rnacentral:rRNA from 1 species
GCAAAUACUCUUAAAGCCGUUCUCAGUUCGGAUUGUAGGCUGCAACUCGCCUACAUGAAGUCGGAAUCGCUAGUAAUCGCGGAUCAGCAUGCCGCGGUGAAUACGUUCCCGGGCCUUGUACACACCGCCCGUCACACCAUGAGAGUUUGUAACACCCAAAGCCGGUGGGGUAACCUUUUGGAGCCAGCCGCCUAAGGUGGGACAGAUGAUUAGGGUGAAGUCGUAACAAGGUAUC